AGGUAGUUCAAUAAACCUAUUUAUUUUGGCGGCUUUCAUUUCAUUAGAGGAACUUGUCUAUUAAUAGAUAAUCCACUAUAAAUUUCACUUUAAAUUACAAUUUAUAUACCGCCAUCCAAAGAAUUAAUUAAAAAUUUUCUCUAAACAAUAAAUAAUAAGUUAGGUCAAGGUGUAAUCAAUUUUAAAGAAAAGAUGAGUUACAUUAAAUAUAUUUAAGGAUAUUUUAUUUAAAAUUUCAAUUAAAAAAGAAUUUAAUAAGUAAUAUAUUAAUAAUAAUUUUAUUUGAAUAAAAUUUCAAAGUGC
rnacentral:rRNA from 1 species